rnacentral:lncRNA from 1 species
GUGAUUGUGGCUCAGCAAGGAGGUGACUUCUCCAUGGUGACAGAGACAUGCCAGGGCUGGAGCAGAAGAGCAACCUGCCCAGGAGGCGAGGGAAGGAGGGUAGGUGUGCCCGGCAGAGAGAACAGCCAGAACAAACAGGGAGUGCCGGAAUGUUCUGGGAGCCAGCAGUCAGCCAGCACGGUUAGAGCAUAGGCUAGAUCCAGGGGAGCAGGAAGCAGGUCUUGUGCUGUUAUCUGGGGGUGACCAAGAGGCUGUUAGUCAGGGGGUCUCUGGUCAGAAGUGGGUUGUUGGGGAAAUGAGAUGUCCCCAGGGUGCAUGGGACAGGAAUGUCCUGGAGGCAGUUGGGCCAGUUCCAGUGUUAGGGCUGCAAUCCAAGCCAGACCCAGGGAGGGAGUGGGAGGAGGGGUGGAGCGCUAGGCAUCCAGGGAGGGGAGAACCCACAGGACCCACUGACUGAUCCGUUGUAGGUAGGGGACAAGGAGCCGGGGACACAGGCUGAUGUCCAGAUUCUGGCCUGAGCACCGGGGGUGUCCAGGCCAAGAAACCAGGCAAGGACCUAGGGGAGGAAAGGAGAAAAUAGAAGUUUAGGGAGCUGUGGAUGUCCCCAUCUAGAUGGGGAAUUGGCCCCUGUGCAAACAGAUCUGGAAUUCGAGAGAGAGGGCGGGGCUGAGAUGAGACAAGAGAGUGUGCUGUAGGCUUGCGGCAUCCAGGCAAGGGGCACCGUGGAAGGAACACACCAGCCCCACGUCAGCAAUGUACAGUCACAUUAUUGACAGUCACUGCCCAGAUGCUGGCCAUGUGCCAGGCCCUGUCCUAUCGAGAAGAAAUGAAGAGUGGAUGAGAAUAAACAGAAGCUGGCUGCAACCACCUCUACUUGCAUUUUGGUAGAGGUGCCAACGGUCUUUGUCUACUUUUUGUUGCAGUAAGAGAAUAUCUUACGCUGGAUGAUUUAUAAGAGAAAAAAAAAGAUUUAUUUGGAUUCACAGUUCUGGAGACCAG